rnacentral:lncRNA from 1 species
GUUAAAACAGAAAUAUAGAAAAUGUGAAAAAUAAAAUAAAAGUAAAGAAGAAAAAGAGAGAGAGAGAGAGAAUAUGCUCACGAAAAAUCAGCAUUCUAUCUUGUCUAAUCUUCAAGUCUAUAAUGUCUUGUGCUUUUAAUAUGAAUCAAAGAAGAGAGAUGAAGAAAAGAAAAAUAGAGUGAUAAAGUAUUAUGCCUGAGUUGGGAAAAAGAAAAUAAAAGGAGAAAGGAAAUGAGUUGAAUCAGUUGAGGUUGAAAUGAAAUGAAGGAAAAAAGAAGAAUGAAGUUGAAAGCAUAGUGAAAAGAAGAGAAGAAAAUAAAGAGAAUAUGUAUAGAACACUCAUGUUAUUGCUCACUAAGCUCGUGCACAUCGUGUAAAGCUCUUAUAUCCAAAGGGAAUAGAGAAGAGAAUGAGCGUACAAAUCAA